CUGGCUCAGGACGAACGCUGGCGGCGUGCUUAACACAUGCAAGUCGAACGGGGACUUCGGUCCUAGUGGCGAACGGGUGAGUAAAGUGCAAAUAACCUGCCUCAAAGAUGGGGACAACAGCUCGAAAGGGUUGCUAAUACCGAAUGUUGUAUAGAGAGGGCAUCCUGAUUAUACUAAAGAUUUAUCGCUUUGAGAGGGGUUUGCAUCCGAUUAGGCAGUUGGCGGGGUAAAAGCCCACCAAACCGACGAUCGGUAACCGGUCUGAGAGGAUGAGCGGUCACAUUGGAACUGAGACACGGUCCAGACUCCUACGGGAGGCAGCAGUGGGGAAUAUUCCACAAUGGAGGGAACUCUGAUGGAGCGACGCCGCGUGAAGUGAAGAAGGGUUUAGGCUCGUAAAGCUCUUUUCUUGCAGAUGAAUGACUUAUUAGAUAAGUAGGGACAGUAUGUAGGGAAUAAGCCACGGCUAACUACGUGCCAGCAGCGGC
rnacentral:rRNA from 1 species